rnacentral:rRNA from 1 species
UCCCAGCAGUCCAAGUCGCAGCCACAUUUGUUGGGUCUAAAACAUCCGUAGCUUGCCUUUCAAGUCUCUUGUGAAAUCGGGCCUCUUAAGGGUCCGGCGUGCAAGAGAGACUGCUUGGCUAGAGACCGGGAGAUGUAAGGAGUACAGACAGGGUAGCGGUAAAAUGUGUUGAUCCUAUCUGGACUAACAACAGCGAAGGCACCUUGCAAGAACGGUUCUGACAGUGAGGGAUGAAGGCUAGGGGCGCAAAGUGGAUUAGAACCA